UACGGGGGGGGCAAGCGUUGUUCGGAAUUACUGGGCGUAAAGGGCUCGUAGGUGGCCAACUAAGUCAGACGUGAAAUCCCUCGGCUUAACCGGGGAACUGCGUCUGAUACUGGAUGGCUUGAGUUCGGGAGAGGGAUGCGGAAUUCCAGGUGUAGCGGUGAAAUGCGUAGAUAUCUGGAGGAACACCGGUGGCGAAGGCGGCAUCCUGGACCGACACUGACGCUGAUGAGCGAAAGCCAGGGGAGCAAACGGG
rnacentral:rRNA from 1 species